GUGAGGAAUAUUGGUCAAUGGGCGGGAGCCUGAACCAGCCAAGUCGCGUGAAGGAAGAAGGAUCUAUGGUUCGUAAACUUCUUUUGCAGGGGAAUAAAGUGCAGGACGUGUCCUGUUUUGUAUGUACCCUGAGAAUAAGGAUCGGCUAACUCCGUGCCAGCAGCCGCGGUAAUACGGAGGAUCCGAGCGUCAUCCGGAUUUAUUGGGUUUAAAGGGUGCGUAGGUGGUUUGAUAAGUCAGCGGUGAAAGUUUGCAGCUUAACUGUAAAAAUGCCGUUGAAACUGUCGGACUUGAGUGUAAAUGAGGUAGGCGGAAUGCGUGGUGUAGCGGUGAAAUGCAUAGAUAUCACGCAGAACUCCGAUUGCGAAGGCAGCUUACUAAGCUACAACUGACACUGAAGCACGAAAGCGUGGGGAUCAAACAGGAUUAGAAACCCCGGUAGUCC
rnacentral:rRNA from 1 species